rnacentral:rRNA from 1 species
UAGGGAAUAUUAGUAAUGGGCGCAAGCCUGAACUAGCAACGCCGCGUGUGCGAAGAAGGCCUUCGGGUUGUAAAGCACUUUUUGAGAGGAUGAGGAAGGACGGUACUCUCAGAAUAAGUCUCGGCUAACUACGUGCCAGCAGCCGCGGUAACACGUAGGAGGCGAACGUUAUCCGGAUUUACUGGGCGUAAAGCGCGUGUAGGUGGUUUGGUAAGUAGGGCGUGAAAGCUCCUGGCUCAACUGGGAGAGGCCGUUCUAAACUGCCGAACUAGAGGAUGGUAGAGGGAGGUGGAAUUCCGGGUGUAGCGGUGGAAUGCGCAGAUAUCCGGAGAAACACCAGUGGCGAAAGCGGCCUCCUGGACCAUUACUGACACGCAGACGCGAAAGC